rnacentral:rRNA from 1 species
GCUAAGUACGUGGCAUCGGCGGGGGUAAAACGAGGUGGGGUAGGGUUGCUGGGAGUCACUGGGCGUGAAGGGCGCGUAGGCGGCCGGCCAAGUCGGGGGGGCAAGCCUGUGGCUCAACCACAGAAUGGCCCGCGAUACUGGACGGCUCGAGACCGGAAGAGGGUGGUGGAAUUGCGAGUGUAGAGGUGAAAUUCGUAGAGAUUCGCAAGAACACCGGUGGCGAAGGCGGCCAACUGGUCCGGAUCUGACGCUGAGGCGCGAAAGCGUGGGGAGCAAACAGGAUUAGAUACCCCAGUAGUC